GGCGAACGCCUUUAAUAUUGCUGAAGACACGCGAACGGGAAAAGAAAAUGAUGAGUUCUGCUCAUAUGCAGCAUUAGAUUUAUCCAAGUCAAAGAUGGUUUCAAAUAUGAAAGGCACGGAGGAAAGAACCACAUAUGCAGAGAUUAAGCGAGUGAAAACCAGUCAGAAGCUGAUUUAUGCUUCUGAGGAGCUGAAUGGAUUCUAGAAAACAGAAGGGGCCAAAUCGAAGUAAAAAU